rnacentral:rRNA from 1 species
GACAGAGGUUGCAAGCGUUGUUCGGAAUUACUGGGCAUAAAGCGCACGUAGGCGGUCCGCUAAGUCAUGUGUGAAAUCCCCCGGCUCAACCGGGGAAUGGCGCCUGAUACUGGCGGACUCGAGAUCGGUAGGGGUGAGUGGAACUCCAGGUGGAGCGGUGAAAUGCGUAGAUAUCUGGAGGAACACCGGUGGCGAGAGCGACUCACUGGACCGACACUGACGCUGAGGUGCGAAAGCUAGGGUAGCAAACGGG